rnacentral:rRNA from 1 species
AUUGAACGCUGGCGGCAUGCCUUACACAUGCAAGUCGAACGGCAGCACGGGUGCUUGCCCCUGGUGGCGAGUGGCGAACGGGUGAGUAAUACAUCGGAACAUGUCCUGUAGUGGGGGAUAGCCCGGCGAAAGCCGGAUUAAUACCGCAUACGAUCCACGGAUGAAAGCGGGGGACCUUCGGGCCUCGCGCUAUAGGGUUGGCCGAUGGCUGAUUAGCUAGUUGGUGGGGUAAAGGCCUACCAAGGCGACGAUCAGUAGCUGGUCUGAGAGGACGACCAGCCACACUGGGACUGAGACACGGCCCAGACUCCUACGGGAGGCAGCAGUGGGGAAUUUUGGACAAUGGGCGAAAGCCUGGUCCAGCAAUGCCGCGUGUGUGAAGAAGGCCUUCGGGUUGUAAAGCACUUUUGUCCGGAAAGAAAUCCUUGGCUCUAAUACAGUCGGGGGAUGACGGUACCGGAAGAAUAAGCACCGGCUAACUACGUG